rnacentral:rRNA from 1 species
AGCGUACACGGUGGAUGCCCUGGCAGUCAGAGGCGAUGAAGGGCGUGCUAAUCUGCGAUAAGCGCCGGUAAGGUGAUAUGAACCGUUAUAACCGGCGAUACCCGAAUGGGGAAACCCAGUGUGAUUCGUCACACUAUCAUUAACUGAAUCCAUAGGUUAAUGAGGCGAACCGGGGGAACUGAAACAUCUAAGUACCCCGAGGAAAAGAAAUCAACCGAGAUUCCCCCAGUAGCGGCGAGCGAACGGGGAGGAGCCCAGAGCCUGAAUCAGCAUGUGUGUUAGUGGAAGCGUCUGGAAAGGCGCGCGAUACAGGGUGACAGCCCCGUACACAAAAGCGCAUGUGCUGUGAGCUCGAUGAGUAGGGCGGGACACGUGGUAUCCUGUCUGAAUAUGGGGGGACCAUCCUCCAAGGCUAAAUACUCCUGACUGACCGAUAGUGAACCAGUACCGUGAGGGAAAGGCGAAAAGAACCCCGGCGAGGGGAGUGAAAAAGAACCUGAAACCGUGUACGUACAAGCAGUGGGAGCACAGGUUUACCUGUGUGACUGCGUACCUUUUGUAUAAUGGGUCAGCGACUUAUAUUCUGUAGCAAGGUUAACCGCAUAGGGGAGCCGGAGGGAAACCGAGUCUUAAUUGGGCGUUAAGUUGCAGGGUAUAGACCCGAAACCCGGUGAUCUAGCCAUGGGCAGGUUGAAGGUUGGGUAACACUAACUGGAGGACCGAACCGACUAAUGUUGAAAAAUUAGCGGAUGACCUGUGGCUGGGGGUGAAAGGCCAAUCAAACCGGGAGAUAGCUGGUUCUCCCCGAAAGCUAUUUAGGUAGCGCCUCGUGAAUUCAUCUCCGGGGGUAGAGCACUGUUUCGGCUAGGGGGCCAUCCCGGCUUACCAACCCGAUGCAAACUGCGAAUACCGGAGAAUGUUAUCACGGGAGACACACGGCGGGUGCUAACGUCCGUCGUGAAGAGGGAAACAACCCAGACCGCCAGCUAAGGUCCCAAAGUCAUGGUUAAGUGGGAAACGAUGUGGGAAGGCCCAGACAGCCAGGAUGUUGGCUUAGAAGCAGCCAUCAUUUAAAGAAAGCGUAAUAGCUCACUGGUCGAGUCGGCCUGCGCGGAAGAUGUAACGGGGCUAAACCAUGCACCGAAGCUGCGGCAGCGAACGUAUCACUUAAAGCGAUUCAGCGGGUUACGAUUGACGGAGCGAAGCGACGUCAAAGCGUAUACAAAGUCGAGUCGGUUUAAGGAUACGUUCGUUGGGUAGGGGAGCGUUCUGUAAGCCUGUGAAGGUGGCCUGUGAGGGUUGCUGGAGGUAUCAGAAGUGCGAAUGCUGACAUAAGUAACGAUAAAGCGGGUGAAAAGCCCGCUCGCCGGAAGACCAAGGGUUCCUGUCCAACGUUAAUCGGGGCAGGGUGAGUCGACCCCUAAGGCGAGGCCGAAAGGCGUAGUCGAUGGGAAACGGGUUAAUAUUCCCGUACUUGGUGUUACUGCGAAGGGGGGACGGAGAAGGCUAUGUUGGCCGGGCGACGGUUGUCCCGGUUUAAGCGUGUAGGUGUGUGUUCCAGGUAAAUCCGGUUCACUUUAACACUGAGGCGUGAUGACGAGGCACUACGGUGCUGAAGCAACAAAUGCCCUGCUUCCAGGAAAAGCCUCUAAGCAUCAGGUAACAUCAAAUCGUACCCCAAACCGACACAGGUGGUCAGGUAGAGAAUACCAAGGCGCUUGAGAGAACUCGGGUGAAGGAACUAGGCAAAAUGGUGCCGUAACUUCGGGAGAAGGCACGCUGACACGUAGGUGAAGUGAUUUACUCAUGGAGCUGAAGUCAGUCGAAGAUACCAGCUGGCUGCAACUGUUUAUUAAAAACACAGCACUGUGCAAACACGAAAGUGGACGUAUACGGUGUGACGCCUGCCCGGUGCCGGAAGGUUAAUUGAUGGGGUCAGCGCAAGCGAAGCUCCUGAUCGAAGCCCCGGUAAACGGCGGCCGUAACUAUAACGGUCCUAAGGUAGCGAAAUUCCUUGUCGGGUAAGUUCCGACCUGCACGAAUGGCGUAAUGAUGGCCAGGCUGUCUCCACCCGAGACUCAGUGAAAUUGAACUCGCUGUGAAGAUGCAGUGUACCCGCGGCAAGACGGAAAGACCCCGUGAACCUUUACUAUAGCUUGACACUGAACAUUGAGCCUUGAUGUGUAGGAUAGGUGGGAGGCUUUGAAGUGUGGACGCCAGUCUGCAUGGAGCCGACCUUGAAAUACCACCCUUUAAUGUUUGAUGUUCUAACGUGGACCCGUUACCCGGGUUGCGGACAGUGUCUGGUGGGUAGUUUGACUGGGGCGGUCUCCUCCUAAAGAGUAACGGAGGAGCACGAAGGUUGGCUAAUCCUGGUCGGACAUCAGGAGGUUAGUGCAAUGGCAUAAGCCAGCUUGACUGCGAGCGUGACGGCGCGAGCAGGUGCGAAAGCAGGUCAUAGUGAUCCGGUGGUUCUGAAUGGAAGGGCCAUCGCUCAACGGAUAAAAGGUACUCCGGGGAUAACAGGCUGAUACCGCCCAAGAGUUCAUAUCGACGGCGGUGUUUGGCACCUCGAUGUCGGCUCAUCACAUCCUGGGGCUGAAGUAGGUCCCAAGGGUAUGGCUGUUCGCCAUUUAAAGUGGUACGCGAGCUGGGUUUAGAACGUCGUGAGACAGUUCGGUCCCUAUCUGCCGUGGGCGCUGGAGAACUGAGGGGGGCUGCUCCUAGUACGAGAGGACCGGAGUGGACGCAUCACUGGUGUUCGGGUUGUCAUGCCAAUGGCACUGCCCGGUAGCUAAAUGCGGAAGAGAUAAGUGCUGAAAGCAUCUAAGCACGAAACUUGCCCCGAGAUGAGUUCU